GGUUAAGUGACUAAGCGUACACGGUGGAUGCCUUGGCAGUCAGAGGCGAUGAAGGACGUAUUAACUUGCGAUAAGCCCAGAUUAGGCAGUAAAAGCCACUUGAGUCUGGGAUUUCCGAAUGGGGAAACCCACUAGCAUAAGCUAGUAUCGCUGCGUGAAUACAUAGCGCAG
rnacentral:rRNA from 1 species